rnacentral:piRNA from 1 species
UACGUGUCUAUGAUUCUCCGUUGUUAAA